GACGAACGCUGGCGGCGUGCCUAAUACAUGCAAGUAGAACGCACAGUUUAUACCGUAGCUUGCUACACCAUAGACUGUGAGUUGCGAACGGGUGAGUAACCCGUAGGUAACCUGCCUGGUAGCGGGGGAUAACUAUUGGAAACGAUAGCUAAUACCGCAUAAUAUUAAUUAUUGCAUGAUAAUUAAUUGAAAGGUCCAAUUGCACCACUACCAGAUGGACCUGCGUUGUAUUAGCUAGUAGGUGAGGUAACGGCUCACCUAGGCGACGAUACAUAGCCGACCUGAGAGGGUGAUCGGCCACACUGGGACUGAGACACGGCCCAGACUCCUACGGGAGGCAGCAGUAGGGAAUCUUCGGCAAUGGACGAAAGUCUGACCGAGCAACGCCGCGGGAGUGAAGAAGGUUUUCGGAUCGUAAAGCUCGGUUGUAAGAGAAGAACGGGUGUGAGAGUGGAAAGUUCACACUGUGACGGUAUCUUACCAGAAAGGGACGGCUAACUACGUG
rnacentral:rRNA from 1 species